rnacentral:lncRNA from 1 species
AGGAGUUCAUAUUUGGGUACCGAGUAAGAAUUUGAGUAUCCUUGUCUAACAUGUUGAGCUUCGUGCCGCACGUGCAGACGUAUCUGAUCGAGGUCUCCUUUCUCCAAUUCUUCUUCUUCUUUUUGCCAAACUCAACUACAUUUGUACACAAUGAAUCACUCAAAGUCAGUUUUACCAAUAAAAAAGGACAAAAGGAAAAAAAAUCAAAUUUACAUUAUUUACUCAGCUCUGUGAUUACAUGGAAGUUGGAAAUAAAACAGAAUCCUUCUGUGAAUCUUGAGAAUAUAUUUUGUAAUUUACGCAGAGUGUUUUACGGGCUACGAAACAUUCCAAUUUUUCAAUAACAUGCAAUAUUUAAAUUAUGUUCUAAAAUUGCGAACACUCUCUUGAGUAAUUACAAUACAAAAUACCCUAAAUUUAAUUUUAAUUUACAGGUAAUUGGAAAGGUGUAAUCUGCAAGUGGAAUGGAUUGGGAAAUGAGUAGAGAAAAGAAUGACAAGUAGACUAUGAGUGUGCUUGUCUUCACGUCUUGAGCCUUAUGGAAAGUUGACCUUUCUGGUCGAAGACUUAUUUAUAUUCUUCUUCUUGACCAAGUCAACACACACGUACACACCCAAUCAAAUUUGAACCCCGUCCUCUCCCACACCCCACAGUGAGAGAAAAAGCCACAAUACCAACCUAAGGCCUUAAUUGACGAUAAAAGGUUACCUUUAACAAAUAGUCAAUAGGAUACAAGGACUGUUGGUGACGAAACCAAUAGGUAUUUUAUAUUUUGGAAUAAAUUACAGAAACUAUUUAAGACUUGUGCUAUUUGUAAAAGUAAAAUAAAGGGAAAGAUCAUAUAACUUUUCGGAUCAGCUUAAAAAUUACCAACCAUUUUUUUCAUCAAGUUGCAUGCAUGUUGGUGAUACGUCAUUGACUUCACAAAAGUAAACUCUAUGAUUCUUUCAGCACACACCAUGCUGGAUUAUAUAUAUAUUCUGUAUUAUACACAUAGCACAGACCAUGUUUUGGGCCCUACCUAUAUUUUAACUGUGGAUGUGACAGUUGAAGACAAACCCUUCAAACAAUGGUAACCAAACAAUGAUCAUUCUCUCAAGUCUCAAACAUGCAAAAUUUAGGAAAAAAGGAUAUGGAGAAGAGAAGAAUUACCUGCAGCAAACCAAUUCUGCAUCUCUUCUUUUAUUUAUUGAUCACUUUGAAGAUUUUUCCUACAAAAAUGGCGACGGCUCAGAACAUCACUGUAAGAGUAGGGGUUGUGUUAAACAUGGAUGGUUUUGGACAGAUGUCAUUCAACUGCUUAUCAAUGGCGCUUACGGAUUUCUACUCUACGCACAAACAAUAUAGAACGAAGCUGGUUCUUACCGACCGGGACUCCAAAGACGAUGCCGUUGGAGCAGCUGCAGCAGGUACUCUGCCUAUAAAAAAACAUAUAACACACACUCAGGAAAUAAGGAAGAAGAAAUAGAGGAAACAAAAAGUUAUAAUUUGAUUUAGCCUAUUAACUAUUCAAUGAUUUUCUUAUUCUUGUUCUGAGGUCUCCCAUGUGAAACAAUGGGUCAAUCGCUUUGUCUUGUCUGAAAAUGGAUGUUAUUAAUUAAACUAGUUGGCAAUCAAGAAAUUCUAUAAAUUUCAAAUUACAAUUCUGUAGGAACAAUCCAUAAUGAUUUUUUUGGGUAUGGCAUUUUAGUCUGUCCGGGAAACAAGUUUAUGUAUAAGAAAGAGUAAACGCUCUACUACUAUAUUGUUAGUUUCUUGCUCAAGUUCAACAGAACAAGAUGUUACUAGAUAUCACAGGGCCAAAAAACACUCUUAUUUAUCUGUUCCUCACAGGCUAGUUUGCUUAAGCAUUAUACAUAUUUUUCCCAAUAAAAGCUAUAAACUUUUCCUAGUUGUAUAAGUGAGAUUUUAAAAAAAAUUUAAGCCCACAAAACUUCAAUUUUCAAGAAAGGAGGAAGAACAUUGAAAUAUUAAAAUUUUCUAAAUAUUCACUCAAGAUGUGGCUGUAUCUACUACUAUUCAGUUCUUUACAUGGAAAAAUUGUGUUGAAGUACUAGCUGAAAUAUUACCAUAUACUGGGAAAGUGCAAACAGAUUCAAGAUGCACCUUCCAGAAUGUAGGCAAUCGACUGAUGAACGUUUUGUUGCACAUGAAAUGCAGGUCUGGAC